rnacentral:rRNA from 1 species
CCUACGGGAGGCAGCAGUGAGGAAUAUUGGUCAAUGGGCGCGAGCCUGAACCAGCCAAGUCGCGUGAGGGAAGACGGUCCUAUGGAUUGUAAACCUCUUUUGUCGGGGAGCAAAAGACGCCACGCGUGGCGUUCCGAGUGUACCCGAAGAAAAAGCAUCGGCUCACUCCGUGCCAGCUGCCGCGGUAAUACGGAGGAUGCGAGCGUUAUCCGGAUUUAUUGGGUUUAAAGGGUGCGCAGGCGGAAGAUAAAGUCAGAGGUAAAAUUGAGAGGCUCAACCUCUUCGAGCCGUUGAAACUGGUUUUCUUGAGUGAGUGAGAAGUAUGCGGAAUGCGUGGUGUAGCGGUGAAAUGCAUAGAUAUCACGCAGAACUCCGAUUGCGAAGGCAGCAUACCGGCGCUCAACUGACGCUCAUGCACGAAAGUGUGGGUAGCGAACAGGAUUAGAUACCCCUGUAGUC